rnacentral:rRNA from 1 species
GUUGUUCGGAAUUACUGGGCGUAAAGGGUUUGUAGGUGGUCUGCUAAGUCAGACGUGAAAUCCCUCAGCUUAACUGGGGAACUGCGUCUGAUACUGGCGGACUUGAGGACAGGAGAGGAACGCGGAAUUCCAGGUGUAGCGGUGAAAUGCGUAGAUAUCUGGAGGAACACCGGUGGCGAAGGCGGCGUUCUGGACUGUUUCUGACACUGAAAAACGAAAGCCAGGGGAGCAAACGGG